rnacentral:rRNA from 1 species
UUAAGCGACUAAGCGUACACGGUGGAUGCCCUGGCAGUCAGAGGCGAUGAAGGACGUGCUAAUCUGCGAAAAGCGUCGGUAAGGUGAUAUGAACCGUUAUAGCCGGCGAUGUCCGAAUGGGGAAACCCAGUGCAAUUCGUUGCACUAUCGUUAACUGAAUACAUAGGUUAACGAGGCGAACCGGGGGAACUGAAACAUCUAAGUACCCCGAGGAAAAGAAAUCAACCGAGAUUCCCCCAGUAGCGGCGAGCGAACGGGGAGCAGCCCAGAGUCUGAAUCAGCUUGUGUGUUAGUGGAACGGUCUGGAAAGUCCGACGGUACAGGGUGAUAGUCCCGUACACCAAAAUGCACAGGCUGUGAACUCGAAGAGUAGGGCGGGACACGUGGUAUCCUGUCUGAAUAUGGGGGGACCAUCCUCCAAGGCUAAAUACUCCUGACUGACCGAUAGUGAACCAGUACCGUGAGGGAAAGGCGAAAAGAACCCCGGCGAGGGGAGUGAAAAAGAACCUGAAACCGUGUACGUACAAGCAGUGGGAGCACCUUCGGGUGUGACUGCGUACCUUUUGUAUAAUGGGUCAGCGACUUAUAUUCUGUAGCAAGGUUAACCGUAUAGGGGAGCCGCAGGGAAACCGAGUCUUAACUGGGCGUUAAGUUGCAGGGUAUAGACCCGAAACCCGGUGAUCUAGCCAUGGGCAGGUUGAAGGUUGGGUAACACUAACUGGAGGACCGAACCGACUAAUGUUGAAAAAUUAGCGGAUGACUUGUGGCUGGGGGUGAAAGGCCAAUCAAACCGGGAGAUAGCUGGUUCUCCCCGAAAGCUAUUUAGGUAGCGCCUCGUGAACUCAUCUUCGGGGGUAGAGCACUGUUUCGGCUAGGGGGUCAUCCCGACUUACCAACCCGAUGCAAACUACGAAUACCGAAGAAUGUUAUCACGGGAGACACACGGCGGGUGCUAACGUCCGUCGUGAAGAGGGAAACAACCCAGACCGCCAGCUAAGGUCCCAAAGUCAUGGUUAAGUGGGAAACGAUGUGGGAAGGCACAGACAGCCAGGAUGUUGGCUUAGAAGCAGCCAUCAUUUAAAGAAAGCGUAAUAGCUCACUGGUCGAGUCGGCCUGCGCGGAAGAUGUAACGGGGCUAAACCAUGCACCGAAGCUGCGGCAGCGACACUAUGUGUUGUUGGGUAGGGGAGCGUUCUGUAAGCCUGCGAAGGUGACCUGUGAGGGUUGCUGGAGGUAUCAGAAGUGCGAAUGCUGACAUAAGUAACGAUAAAGCGGGUGAAAAGCCCGCUCGCCGGAAGACCAAGGGUUCCUGUCCAACGUUAAUCGGGGCAGGGUGAGUCGACCCCUAAGGCGAGGCCGAAAGGCGUAGUCGAUGGGAAACAGGUUAAUAUUCCUGUACUUGGUGUUACUGCGAAGGGGGGACGGAGAAGGCUAUGUUAGCCGGGCGACGGUUGUCCCGGUUUAAGCAUGUAGGCUGGUUAUCCAGGCAAAUCCGGAUAAUCAAGGCUGAGGUGUGAUGACGAGGCACUACGGUGCUGAAGUAACAAAUGCCCUGCUUCCAGGAAAAGCCUCUAAGCAUCAGGUAACAUCAAAUCGUACCCCAAACCGACACAGGUGGUCAGGUAGAGAAUACCAAGGCGCUUGAGAGAACUCGGGUGAAGGAACUAGGCAAAAUGGUGCCGUAACUUCGGGAGAAGGCACGCUGGUGUGUAGGUGAAGUCCCUGCGGAUGGAGCUGAGACCAGUCGAAGAUACCAGCUGGCUGCAACUGUUUAUUAAAAACACAGCACUGUGCAAACACGAAAGUGGACGUAUACGGUGUGACGCCUGCCCGGUGCCGGAAGGUUAAUUGAUGGGGUUAUCCGUAAGGAGAAGCUCUUGAUCGAAGCCCCGGUAAACGGCGGCCGUAACUAUAACGGUCCUAAGGUAGCGAAAUUCCUUGUCGGGUAAGUUCCGACCUGCACGAAUGGCGUAAUGAUGGCCAGGCUGUCUCCACCCGAGACUCAGUGAAAUUGAACUCGCUGUGAAGAUGCAGUGUACCCGCGGCAAGACGGAAAGACCCCGUGAACCUUUACUAUAGCUUGACACUGAACAUUGAGCCUUGAUGUGUAGGAUAGGUGGGAGGCUUUGAAGCGUGGACGCCAGUCUGCGUGGAGCCAACCUUGAAAUACCACCCUUUAAUGUUUGAUGUUCUAACGUUGGCCCCUUACCGGGGUUGCGGACAGUGUCUGGUGGGUAGUUUGACUGGGGCGGUCUCCUCCCAAAGCGUAACGGAGGAGCACGAAGGUUAGCUAAUCCUGGUCGGACAUCAGGAGGUUAGUGCAAUGGCAUAAGCUAGCUUGACUGCGAGCGUGACGGCGCGAGCAGGUGCGAAAGCAGGUCAUAGUGAUCCGGUGGUUCUGAAUGGAAGGGCCAUCGCUCAACGGAUAAAAGGUACUCCGGGGAUAACAGGCUGAUACCGCCCAAGAGUUCAUAUCGACGGCGGUGUUUGGCACCUCGAUGUCGGCUCAUCACAUCCUGGGGCUGAAGUAGGUCCCAAGGGUAUGGCUGUUCGCCAUUUAAAGUGGUACGCGAGCUGGGUUUAGAACGUCGUGAGACAGUUCGGUCCCUAUCUGCCGUGGGCGCUGGAGAAUUGAGGGGGGCUGCUCCUAGUACGAGAGGACCGGAGUGGACGCAUCACUGGUGUUCGGGUUGUCAUGCCAAUGGCACUGCCCGGUAGCUAAAUGCGGAAGAGAUAAGUGCUGAAAGCAUCUAAGCACGAAACUUGCCCCGAGAUGAGUUCUCCCUGAGACUUUAAGUCUCCUGAAGGAACGUUGAAGACGACGACGUUGAUAGGCCGGGUGUGUAAGCGCAGCGAUGCGUUGAGCUAACCGGUACUAAUGAACCGUGAGGCUUAACCUU